AUCCAGCUGACGAGUCCCAAAUAGAACGAAACGCGUGUUCCGGAU
rnacentral:hammerhead_ribozyme from 1 species